AGAGUUUGAUCCUGGCUCAGGACGAACGCUGGCGGCGUGCCUAAUGCAUGCAAGUCGCACGCAGUCUCCUUCGGGUGGCUGAGUGGCGCACGGCUGAGGAUCACGUGGGAACAUGCCUCCUUGUGGGGGACAACACCGCGAAAGCGGUGCUAAUCCCGCAUACGCUCGGCAACGAGGAAAGCGGCAACGCGCAGGGAGAGUGGCCCGCGGCCCAUCAGGUCGUUGGUGGGGUAAUGGCCUACCAAGCCGGUGACGGGUAGCUGGUCUGUGAGGACAGACAGCCAGACUGGGACUGAGACACGGCCCAGACUCCUACGGGAGGCAGCAGCAAGGAAUUUUCGUCAAUGGGCGCAAGCCUGAACGAGCAACGCCGCGUGGAGGAUGACGGCCUUCGGGUUGUAAACUCCUUUUUCGGGGGACGAUAAUGACGGUACCCCGGGAAUAAGGCUCGGCUAACUCUGUGCCAGCAGCCGCGGUAAUAC
rnacentral:rRNA from 1 species